GCGAAGGACAUCGUGCAAGGUGCCGCAACGGAGAUUCUCCGCAGCGGUUAAACGGGAAGCAGGUGCGUGUUCUUCAGAACACCAGGCCUGAGCUGCCCCCGCAACGGUAAGUGAGUGCGGGUGUGUCGAAAUGCCACUGGGCGAGAGCCUGGGAAGGCGACACAUCAAGACUCGCGAGCCCGGAUACCGGCCUUCGCACACAUUUGACG
rnacentral:ncRNA from 2 species